rnacentral:rRNA from 2 species
GACCGAACCGACUAAUGUUGAAAAAUUAGCGGAUGACCUGUGGCUGGGGGUGAAAGGCCAAUCAAACCGGGAGAUAGCUGGUUCUCCCCGAAAGCUAUUUAGGUAGCGCCUCGUGAAUUCAUCUCCGGGGGUAGAGCACUGUUUCGGCUAGGGGGCCAUCCCGGCUUACCAACCCGAUGCAAACUGCGAAUACCGGAGAAUGUUAUCACGGGAGACACACGGCGGGUGCUAACGUCCGUCGUGAAGAGGGAAACAACCCAGACCGCCAGCUAAGGUCCCAAAGUCAUGGUUAAGUGGGAAACGAUGUGGGAAGGCCCAGACAGCCAGGAUGUUGGCUUAGAAGCAGCCAUCAUUUAAAGAAAGCGUAAUAGCUCACUGGUCGAGUCGGCCUGCGCGGAAGAUGUAACGGGGCUAAACCAU